GACGAACGCUGGCGGCGUGCUUAACACAUGCAAGUCGAACGGAAAGGCCCUGCUUUUGUGGGGUGCUCGAGUGGCGAACGGGUGUGUAACACGUGAGUAACCUGCCCUUGACUUUGGGAUAACUUCAGGAAACUGGGGCUAAUACCGGAUAGGAGCUCCUGCUGCAUGGUGGGGGUUGGAAAGUUUCGGCGGCUGGGGAUGGACUCGCGGCUUAUCAGCUUGUUGGUGGGGUAGUGGCUUACCAAGGCUUUGACGGGUAGCCGGCCUGAGAGGGUGACCAGCCACAUUGGGACUGAGAUACGGCCCAGACUCCUACGGGAGGCAGCAGUGGGGAAUAUUGCACAAUGGGCGGAAGCCUGAUGCAGCAACGCCGCGUGCGGGAUGACGGCCUUCGGGUUGUAAACCGCUUUCGCCUGUGACGAAGCGUGAGUGACGGUAAUGGGUAAAGAAGCACCGGCUAACUACGUG
rnacentral:rRNA from 1 species